CCCGCUGAACUUAAGCAUAUCAAUAAGCGGAGGAAAAGAAACCAACAGGGAUUGCCUCAGUAACGGCGAGUGAAGCGGCAAUAGCUCAAAUUUGAAAUCUGACUUUCGGGUCCGAGUUGUAAUUUGUAGAGGAUGCUUCGGCUUACGUUUCGGUCUAAGUUCCUUGGAACAGGACGUCACAGAGGGUGAGAAUCCCGUUUGUGGCCGAGACUUCCGCCAUGUGAAGCUCCUUCGACGAGUCGAGUUGUUUGGGAAUGCAGCUCUAAAUGGGAGGUAAAUUUCUUCUAAAGCUAAAUACCGGCCAGAGACCGAUAGCGCACAAGUAGAGUGAUCGAAAGAUGAAAAGCACUUUGGAAAGAGAGUUAAAAAGUACGUGAAAUUGUUGAAAGGGAAGCGCUUGCGACCAGACUUGCUCGCGGAUGUUCAACCGGUCCUUCGGCCGGUGCACUCAUCCGCGGUCAGGCCAGCAUCAGUUCGAGCGGUUGGAUAAAGGCUUUGGGAAUGUGGCUCUCUUCGGGGAGUGUUAUAGCCCUUUGUGCAAUACAACCUGCUUGGACUGAGGACCGCGCUUCGGCUAGGAUGCUGGCGUAAUGGUCGUAAGCGGCCCGUCUUGAAACACGG
rnacentral:rRNA from 1 species